rnacentral:rRNA from 1 species
UACGGGGGGUGCAAGCGUUGUCCGGAAUCAUUGGGCGUAAAGCGUUCGUAGGCGGCAAGGUAAGUCUGAUGUUAAAGCCCGGGGCUCAACUCCGGUUCGGCAUUGGAUACUAUCUAGCUAGAAUGUGGUAGAGGUAAAGGGAAUUCCUGGUGUAGCGGUGAAAUGCGUAGAUAUCAGGAGGAACAUCAGUGGCGAAGGCGGCCACCUGGACCGGUAUUGACGCUGAGGCGCGAAAGCGUGGGGAGCAAACAGG